GUAGCUCCUUUAUCUCCAAAUUUGGGGCUUUAUGUUUCCAUUAAAAAUUCUAGGCUGUAAAUGCUGGGAAAUUUUCAGUCAACAUCCAUGACAGGACUUAUUUCCUUCAAAUACCAUGUAUGUUUAGGCAGUGCUAUGGACUUAAUUAUGUGAUCUGCAUAUUUGGUAUCACUGAGCCCCUACUAUGCAUUAUGUAGUGUGGGGAAUAAAGUCUGCUUUCUAAAGAGGCUGGAGAGUUGGACUUUCUUCUGCUGACAGUUGGUGGAUGGCUGGGAAUGAAGAUUUUGAAUAGUGCAUAGGAUGGGGUAGGGGUGGGGCCAGAUAUGAAGCCAUGGUGACAGAAGCACUGGGGAAGGAGAAUAAAGCAACUAAGAGAGGUUUGUAGGGCAAGGUGAAAAACAGAUGCAUGAUCACUUGAUGGGUAAAAUUAGAGAAGUGAAAAGCAAAGGAACAAGAUGAGAAAAGAAAGAACAAACCCAGGGUGUAACUGGAAGAUUGAUUUCAUGGCAAAAGGGAACUUAUCUUAUAUGCAUAUAACUUGCUAUGUAUGAUAGCCAGGAUAAUAUCUUCUUCUCUAAAAGGGAAAGGAAGAAUUUCCAAAGGCCUAAGGAAUUUUCAUCUAAUGCUAUACACAUCUAGAAAUGCAUACUCAGAGACUUUAAUAAUCCCUAUGUUAUAUUAACUGGGAAGCAAUGAGAAGUCUAAAAGCAGCUUUUCUGCAUAAGGGGAUGAGUAUUAUCAUAGCUAAUCUAGAACCAGGAAAGACAAGCCCUUAGCCAACAUUUCUUAUUAUUAAAAAGAGAAGGUGUUUCCAAAGUUACAGUACAGUCAGUCCUCUAUAAAAUUGAUAUAUAAAUACCUAUCCAUGUUAGCAAAGGAAAGCUGAUUCUAUUUUUAUAGCAAUCCAAAAUGUGUUAGUUUAGAGGCCUCAAGGAAGUACUUGAAUAUGAGUUUUAUGAUUAUUUAAAAAACACAAUCCUAAUGCAAAAUUCCUACUUUAUUUAUGCUUCAGAUUGAGAGAUGAAAAGUCAUCAUUUUAAUUCAGGUCAAAUAAGCAUUCCUGAAAGAAGCCAAGAGGUGAGCUGGAGUUUAAGAUAUUUCUCCAUGGAAUUUUCUGUGUUUCUUUCAAGUCCACUGAAUGAUGCCAAAAAUGUGCAGAAGAAGAAAGAUCUUGGCUUCUCUCUGCACGAGUUUGAGGGUGUGAAUGAAAAGUUCUGCAGUCAUCGUCUCCAUGGGAAAAAAAAAAUCUGAUUUUAGUAACAUCUUGCCAUAUACAAGAGUUAUUUUUUGAAAAAGUUUCUAAGCUUGUCAAAAUAUUCCUAGGUGCGAGUUUAGUGUUUCUUGAAAAACUGAAGAGGCAGAAGGUAAAAAAGCAAACGUUCAUGACUAUGUUUGGCCUUUCUCAUUCGUGUAUGAAAUAACUGUUGAACAAGGAAGAAAGAUAAAAUUCCUAUCUGAAAAGAUAGUGCCCACAUGUCUCUGACUGUUCCAUUCUCAACUAUGUUUUUAUUCCUCCUCUUCCUCCUCUUUGAUUACUUGAUUUCUUCUCAUCCAUGGAAGCUCAAAGCAAACAACCUUCUUACCAAAGCACCUUCCUUGUUUGCUAUCAACUAGCAUUCUCGGGAGCUCAAAGCAGUUUUUUCCUUACGUUUCACUUAUUUGGUAUGUAAAUUAUAAAUAUAUUGUUAGGCAAUCAAAUCAUAUUUUCUCUAUAAGUUUACUAAGACUUUGAAGCAAGGGGUACAUGUCUCUUACCUGCAUGGCUUUGUGAACAGCAGCAGCUCUAUUGACUUAUCCCCUCUGAGACAAAACAGGUGGGACAUAGGGAGGAUUAUAAAACACAAGAAGCUCAAGAAGGAGUUGAAUUCCUCUGCCGCUUCCUGCUACCAACACUCUAUCCCCACAAAAUCUGAGAGUGAUCUGUUAGCCAUGAAACCAUGUCUUUGGGGGUUGGUGUCAUAAUUAUCAUUAAAGGGCUUAGCUGUAGGAAAUGGCCUUGCUUUCUAAAUUUCACUGAAAUAGCCUACAUGUCCAGAACAAUUAAGAAUUAUAUAGGUUAGAAAAAAGUGUCUUUUAAAAUUAAAUAGUUGUGCUGUGAUUCAAACUGCCUUGUUUCCAAAUAUCCAUCCUUUUAACCAGGAAGGCACAUUUUCAACAUGACAUAAAAAAAGGGCUGAUAUAACAAAGAAAUUAAAGAAUAUCAAAGCCAACACAGUAAAAAGCAAUGGCAUCCUCAACAAGAAAGGGAAUGUGAAACUGAAUACAGGUACCAGGAAUCAGAAGAGUGCCAGGAAGAGAAUGAUCUUUGUUCUGCAGUAGCAGAGUUGCCUCCUGAGGAGCUGGAGAAAGCAGGCUUGCUUGUGUCACUAAAAGAAGCAAUGUUGACUCAAGGAGAAAUACACAAUGCCAUGAAUUAUAAGGACUGGUGACAGAAAAUGAGUUAGGUUCUCUCUUUCAUCUUCUUCUGGUAUCCCUACACAAGAAUCAUGGGCUAAUAGCAUGUUAGGGCUGGAAGGGGCUUAUAGAACAUCUAGUAUAACUUCCUCUCUUUAUUGGUGUUGCAAGUGAGGCCCAAAGAGAGGAAUUUACCUAACGUGCAGCAGUGCUGCAGAAAAUUCAAAUUCUUUACUUCUAACUAUUCCCAGAAUUGGUCAUUCAUCUCUUCAAAAUAUAUGUGUUGGUGUAAAUAAAAUUAUACCCAAGGGGGUUUUUAAUCUCACACAACUAUAUAUCACAUGGCAGGGACAAACAUUAACAAUCAGAGCCAAGUUGUUACUAUAGUCAAUAAAUUGAAUAACUUAUUUUACCACCUCUUAUUCUUCUACCUUUUUAAAAAGUGUAUAUAUCAAAACAAGCUUCAUCUUACUUAGUGUCCUCAUGCAUGGAUAGAGUUAAAAUGGUUUAGGCAUCAUUUUGCAUUAGAGUUCUGGAAUGUAUGCAGAGCAAGGUUGGAUGGAUUUUUACCAUGUAAGUCAGCCACUAGGCAGUAUUUGUAGUGGAAAUGGGCCUCUAACACUCAUUUCCAAUAGGACAGUAGAAAACAUGGUAUCUACCACCACAGAUCUGCUGUCAAAAGUUUAACCUCCUAUGGGUUAACAUGCGAGUGAUUUAUUUUAUCUUGUGAGCUACUUUGACACCAAAGUAUCUUGAAUGGUCAUAAGUUUGACAAAAAGACCUUUAUGGCUGGUUGAAAUUAAUGACCUCUAAAGUUUGAUUUUACCCUGAGAUCCUGUGAUUCUAAGAGCAGCAGUAGAAAUCCUAGGCAUCUUUCAAGUGUCAUUCUGAACAACAAAAAAAAUAACAUCAGAAGGGAAAAUCUUUUAGACUCAUUAUCUUGCCAUUUCAACCAAUAUAAAUACCAGCUUUAUUUUUUGAAAGCUUUAUUGGAAUUUCUACAUAAGGCUACAUACAUUUCUAAAUAGCUCCCUCAAACUAGAAACUUGUCUAUAAAACAACUGAAAUCAAAUGGAAAGCCCCUUUUCUCAGCCUUAUAUAAGUAAACCUUACUUAUAUAUACCUGAUCAAUAGGGCUAUACUCUCCCUGACAGAUGUUUUCAUUUUUUCUGCCUGAAUAUAAUGUAAAUGGAGCAAAUUCUACCCUAAGGUGCAAUAUUAUACCACAGACUGAUAUAAUAAUAAUUUAUGGCCUAUAUAUUAUAGUUAUAUAAAAUGUCUCAUACCACAUCACCAAUUAUAAGGGGCUGAUCUGCAAUACAACUGAUAGGUUUAGUCCUAUAGGACAUUUCAUUCCAGUUAUAGUUUAAUUUUCAACCUUACUCAUUUGUGAUCUCUCUUUAUAAUUGCCAAAAAGUUCAGGGAUCAUAUGAAGCACUGUUUUUCAAAUGGCCCAUGUGGAAGCAGAAGCCUAGUACAUAUCUUUGAUAAAAGAAUUAACAAGGAUAGUAAUUUAUUAUAUUCUGUAGGGAGAGAAAUUAAUAAUUUAACUACAGAAGAAUUCAGAUGAAUAGGAAAAGAAGAGGAAAAAAAGGAAAACUAGAAAAAAAUUGCUUUCCAGGUUCACAGAAGGCAAACAUCGUGUGGACACUUCCCCAGUGCCUCGGGCUAUGUGGUUAAGACUAAACACACCGUGUGCUCUAUCUUCUAUUUGUUGAACCUCCAGGUGGAACCAGAUUAGCAGAAAGAACGUUUCCUCGGUCAUGAGGGAAUUUAAUUCUUAUCACCUGCUGUGGAAGAUUGGCAACAGCAUUCCUGACCUAAAGAAUAAACUUCUAAUUGUUCUUAAGAAGGUAAUUCCACCAAGGUAAUUCUAGGUCUGCUUCAGCUAUUCCUUAUUUUUGAGUGAUUUUAUUUCAGACUUAAAUCCAUUCCCUUGACGAUAACUGGAGAAAUGAAGCAUAGGAAGAAAAUUGUCCAGAAAGGAUAACACCAAACAUUAAUCUCUUUUGGAACAGAGAGACUCUUUGUUUUUAGUAAACUAGACACAGUUUCAUGGGCAUGUAGGUACUUGAGUGCCCACAAUGCACCAGGCAAUGUGCUGGGGGUGGCAAGAAAUAAAUGCAAUGCUUCUCUACUCUGUGGCAAGCCCUGUGAUAGAACUUUUUACACGCCAUCUCAGCAGACCCUGCAUUUGUCUAAUGUCUAUUUCAUGCUUUUUACACCUGUGUAAGGCAGUCUAUAAGGUGGCUCCCAACUGUCUCAGCCUCCUGGUAUUCAUACCCUUGAUUAUUCCCUCCCCUUAAAUGUCCUAUACUUAUUGACUCACUUCUAAGUGAUGAAUAGAAUACAGUAGAGGUGACAGGAUGUCACUUUCAAGAUUAGAUUGAAAACAACAAUGGCUUCCACCUUCUCCCCAACCCUCAAUCAAAGACAGCUAUUAAGUUGUAAGCUGUCCUGUAGAAAGGCUCUUGUGCCAAUGAAGUAUUAUCUGUGGCCAACAGUCCACAAUGACUAAGGCCUGCCACCAGCCAUAGGUAAGGGCUUGGAAGCAGAUCUCUCCCAAGUUGAGGUGACUGAAGCCCUGGCUGUCACCUCGGUUGCAGCCUUAUGGAGGGACUCUAAGCCAGAGGCACCCAGCUAAGCCACAUCUGGAUUCCUGACCUGCAAAAAUUAGGAGGUAAUGCCUUGUUGAUUUUUGAGCUGCUACGUUUUGGAGUUAUUUGUUAUGCAGCAAUAGAGAACUAAUAUAACACCAUUUCCUCCUCUCUAGUCACCAUUAUUUAGAAACAACUCCAUGAAUGAACAAUGAGAAUCAAGAGCUGGGAAUCAAUAGUUGAGGUGACAGAUUAGGCAACAGCAUGAUGGCCAGCACGUGUCUCACCCAGAAGCUGUCCUCUUCCUUCUUAUAAGACAAGGCUCUAACUCAUGAGGAUGGUUUUUACCACAAAGUUGCACGAGGUGCUUGAAUUUACCACAAAGUUGCAGGAGGUGCUUGACUAGUACAGGAGCACAGCUAAAAAAGGCUCUGCAGACCAAGUCUUCCAUAUUGAUCACAUCUUAGCUAACACUGCUAUGGCUUAAUUGGGCAAACGGCCAAUGGCAUCUGAUCUGCCAUUUUCCAUUUCUCUCAAAAACUAGUUAAGGUAUGGGAAGGACAUCUACCUCAUUUUCCUCUCCUGCCUCCCCGCCUGCCACACACAUUGAGGGCCAAGAAUGGCUCUUUGUAAAGCUACUUGAAAUAAAUGCUACAGGCCUCGUCCUGCUUGGAAGUAAAUCUGGAUGGAAUGUAAUCAAACAGCAUGCAUUUGGCAUCAACUUAUGUUUGAGCAUUGCAGGUAUAAAAAUGAAAAAUAUGUUUUGGCAGAGAGUUGGACAGAAAGGAAGACUUAAUUAAAUAUCUGAAAUAUACACCACUGGAACCAAUUAAUAAUCAUCAAGGGAUCAGAAAAGGAAGGACAGUAAUAAAAAGAGUUUAUAAAGUCGAAAUUUCAGGUGAGAGGGAAAAAAUCCUAUCCACAUUCUUCUGAAUCUCUGAAUUGAUCAGCAUAUGAGAUAUGCUUCAGAUAUGUUUGCCUGUCAGACUCAUAAACACAACAAGAUAUGCCAGCUGCAAUGAAGAGAAGCCCUGUUUCAGUUCGUGGAUUACAGACUGCAACAUCCAUCAGCAUCAAGACAAACACCUUCAAACUACUGUCCUUGGCGUCCAGCCUAACAGAUCUGAGGAAUGUGAUAAAGGAACACUGGAUUCCCAAGGUCUGCUCAGGUUUCCUUCCAUAACAAGAAGUAGCCAAAUACAGCUGAACAGGCCUGCUGAAACCACUGAUUUCUUUCGUUUAAGUUCAGAGGUUCGUAACCUGCUCAAUGGUUUAAACAACAACAACAAGCAGUAUCGGAAGUCAGCAUCAUCUACUCAGCAGCCCAAAUCUGGAAGGUUUUGGAAAAAAUCAGGACACCACUGUUAACCACCUUAACAAGACUGCAAACACAGGCUGUCUAUUCCUCAUCAACAGAAUCUUUGAUACUGGCAAUUUGUUUAGAUUGGCUUGCAGAAGCAUAUAUUGGUAGCUAUGUUAUGAAUAUUUACCGGUUUCAUACACAUUCAUAAAAAUCAGAAACAUUUUCCUCCUAGGUAUCUGCAUUGGUCUUGAAUGGCUGUUUAAAAAUAAUCAGAAACCCCCACUCAUUCAAGAAUGACUCUUACCUACAACCCAAAUAAGCCAUACAGACAAGGGUAGAUCUCAGAUGAAUGAUAAUCAAGGGCCCUGUUAAAAUCUUCUGAAAUCAAAAAUAAAUAGUAAUUACUUUAUUAUCUAUCUGCCUAUCUAUUCAACCAUUCACAUUCUUUAAAAUUUUUGUAGGUACAUAGUAGGUGUACAUAUUUAUGGGGCAUAAGUUAUAUUUUGAUAUGGGCAUAAAUGUGUAAUAAUCACAUCAGGGUAAAUGGGGUAGCCAUCACCUCAAGCAUUUAUCCUAUUACAAGCAAU
rnacentral:lncRNA from 1 species